rnacentral:rRNA from 1 species
GAUGAACGCUGGCGGCGUGCCUAAUACAUGCCAGUCGAGCGAACAGACGAGGAGCUUACUCCUCUGACGUUAGCGGCGGACGGGUGAGUAACACGUGGAUAACCUACCUAUAAGACUGGGAUAACUUCGGGAAACCGGAGCUAAUACCGGAUAACAUGUUGAACCGCAUGGUUCAACAGUGAAAGACGGUCUUGCUGUCACUUAUAGAUGGAUCCGCGUCGCAUUAGCUAGUUGGCAAGGUAACGGCUUACCAAGGCAACGAUGCGUAGCCGACCUGAGAGGGUGAUCGGCCACACUGGAACUGAGACACGGUCCAGACUCCUACGGGAGGCAGCAGUAGGGAAUCUUCCGCAAUGGGCGAAAGCCUGACGGAGCAACGCCGCGUGAGUGAAGAAGGUCUUCGGAUCGUAAAACUCUGUUAUUAGGGAAGAACAAAUGUGUAAGUAACUAUGCACGUCUUGACGGUACCUAAUCAGAAAGCCACGGCUAACUACGUG